rnacentral:rRNA from 1 species
AGAACGAACGUUGGCGGCGUGGAUUAGGCAUGCAAGUCGGACGAAUCCCGUAGCAAUACGGGGGAAGUGGCGAAAGGGGCAGUAAGGCAUGGGCAACCUGCCCCCAGGUCCGGGAUAGCCGUCCUAACGGACGGGUAAUACCGGGAGACCCGUCGGGGGGACAUCCCCCUGACGGCAAAGGUUCACCGCCUGGGGAGGGCUCAUGUGAUAUUAGCUAGUUGGCGGGUAACGCCCACCGAGGCGAAGAUGUCUAGCAGGUGUGAGAGCACGACCUGCGCCACUGGCACUGGGACACUGGCCAGACUCCUACGGGAGGCUGCAGUCGAGGAUCUUCGGCAAUGGGCGCAAGCCUGACCGAGCGACGCCGCGUGUGCGAUGAAGGCCUUCGGCGUAAAGCACGUGGUCGGGGGGAGAAAGGGCAACCGUUGAUCGACCCCGGAGAAGCACGGCUAAGUCGUGCCAGCAGCCGC